GGCUGCUCCAGUGACCUAGUAGUUAGAGCAUCCACCUUGGAUGCGGGAGGUCAUUGGUUUGAAUCCCAGCUGAGUCA